rnacentral:rRNA from 1 species
GGACUACCCGGGUAUCUAAUCCUGUUUGAUCCCCACGCUUUCGCGCCUCAGCGUCAGUAUUAAGCCAGGUGGCUGCCUUCGCCAUUGACGUUCCUUCCGAUCUCUACGCAUUUCACCGCUACACCGGAAAUUCCGCCACCCUCUCUUAUACUCCAGUUAGGUCGUUUGCGAUGCACUUCCCAGGUUAAGCCCGGGGCUUUCACAUCACACUCACCUCACCGCCUACGCGCCCUUUACGCCCAGUAAAUCCGAUUAACGCUCGCACCCUCUGUAUUACCGCGGCUGCUGGCAC